CUCUGAAAAGAAUUUGGGCAUGUAAACUUGCGGCUGAGAAUUUUCCAUCAAGUAGAGCCGAGUAGAGUGUUUGUUCCCCAAGGGUUCUGGACAAUUCGUCGCCGUCUUCUAUUUUAUGGAUGCCAGCACGGAUAGACACCCUCGGGAAGACUGUCAUGAGCAAAUGUGGACGCACAUAUAAUGGUACUGGAUAUGACAUGGGCCGACGAAAGUCUUUUCGCUCCUCAGUCGUCAAACAAGCGGUGCCAAAAGUUCACGAGGACGCUUCUCACCUGAUCCCGGCGUGGGAAACGCUAACAUCGAAGACACCGGCACAAGGUCCACUAGCACAAAGUUUCGCGUUUCUUUUGUGCACAUUCUGCAAAGGGAACGCGCGUUUUCCGGCAGAUAAACGUGCUAAUCUUACCUCUUGACCAUUCUGUAAGCUUGAAUAAAUGCCGACAGUGCUCACAACAGUUCAUGUGGUGUGUUGCGCUAAUGAGCCUCUACUAUUGCACCAAAAGUUGCCACAGCGCUGAUUAUAGUAAUGUUCAGUGCGUCAGGUUAAAGGCCGCUAAAAUACCAUGGUCUUGUUUUCCCAUAUGUGUAAAACGGUGCUGUGGACACUUUUUUUUUCAUAG
rnacentral:lncRNA from 1 species